CAUUGUAUAGAAUAAUAAAAUAUCAUAUUUUAGUAGGAAUAAAAAAAAUCUUAUUCGGGUCUGAAAAAAAAAAACGUCAUAGUAUACUAUGACCAAAAUUUCAAAUUUCAGGGUGAAAUUUUUUUUUCAGAUUUUCUGAUGAAAAAAGAAAUGGAAUGGUGGUGUCUGAACAAAAUGCCAUAGUAUAGAAUGUUAAAAAUGUCAUAUUUUAGUAGGAAUUAAAAAAAAUAAUAUUUCAGUCCGAAAAAAAAUGUCAUAGUAUACUAUGACCAAAAUUUCAGAUUUUAGGGUGAAUUUCUUUUUUUCACAUUUUGGGAUGAAAAAACAUGCCAUAGUAUUGUCUGAACAAAAUGCCAUAGUUUAGGAUGUUAAAAAUGUCAUAUUUUAGCAGGAAGAAACAAAUUAU
rnacentral:lncRNA from 1 species